AGGGAUAUAGCUCAGUUGGUAGAGUGCUUGCCUUGCAUGCACAAGGCCCUGGGUUCAAUCCCCAGCACCACCA
rfam:Ictidomys tridecemlineatus contig085959, whole genome shotgun sequence.